rnacentral:tRNA from 1 species
AGAGGUAUAGCCAAGCCCGGUAAGGCAACAGGUUUUGAUCCUGUCAUGCGAUGGUUCGAAUCCAUCUACCUCUUCCA